AUUGAACGCUGGCGGCAGGCCUAACACAUGCAAGUCGAGCGGAUGAAGGGAGCUUGCUCCUGGAUUCAGCGGCGGACGGGUGAGUAAUGCCUAGGAAUCUGCCUGGUAGUGGGAGAUAACGUCCGGAAACGGGCGCUAAUACCGCAUACGUCCUGAGGGAGAAAGUGGGGGAUCUUCGGACCUCACGCUAUCAGAUGAGCCUAGGUCGGAUUAGCUAGUUGGUGGGGUAAAGGCCUACCAAGGCGACGAUCCGUAACUGGUCUGAGAGGAUGAUCAGUCACACUGGAACUGAGACACGGUCCAGACUCCUACGGGAGGCAGCAGUGGAGAAUAUUGGACAAUGGGCGAAAGCCUGAUCCAGCCAUGCCGCGUGUGUGAAGAAGGUCUUCGGAUUGUAAAGCACUUUAAGUUGGGAGGAAGGGCAGUAAGUUAAUACCUUGCUGUUUUGACGUUACCAACAGAAUAAGCACCGGCUAACUUCGUG
rnacentral:rRNA from 1 species